AUUGAACGCUGGCGGCAUGCCUUACACAUGCAAGUCGAACGGUAACAGGUCUUCGGAUGCUGACGAGUGGCGAACGGGUGAGUAAUACAUCGGAACGUGCCCGAUCGUGGGGGAUAACGAAGCGAAAGCUUUGCUAAUACCGCAUACGAUCUACGGAUGAAAGCAGGGGACCGCAAGGCCUUGCGCGAACGGAGCGGCCGAUGGCAGAAUAGGUAGUUGGUGGGAUAAAAGCUUACCAAGCCGACGAUCUGUAGCUGGUCUGAGAGGACGACCAGCCACACUGGGACUGAGACACGGCCCAGACUCCCACGGGAGGCAGCAGUGGGGCAUUUUGGACAAUGGGCGAAAGCCUGAUCCAGCCAUGCCGCGUGCAGGAUGAAGGCCUUCGGGUUGUAAACUGCUUUUGUACGGAACGAAAAGACUCUGGUUAAUACCUGGGGUCCAUGACGGUACCGUAAGAAUAAGCACCGGCUAACUACGUGCCAGCCGCCGCCGUAACAC
rnacentral:rRNA from 1 species